AGAAUUUUCGAUAGUAGUAAAGAUACAUGUUGACUAGAAGCACUUGAGAUGAGUCAUACUCGUUUGGGAGCGAUAUUUGCUGAACAAAAUCUGUUGGAAGAUAAAUUCGACUACUACAAACGUUGGAAUUGAUUAAAAAGGGUUCGUAGAUGUUAGUAGAGGUUUGUAGUGAAAGAAUUUUCGAUAGUAGUAAAGAUACAUGUUGACUAGAAGCACUUGAGAUGAGUCAAACUCGUUUCGGACCGAUAUUUGCUGAACAAAAUCUGUUGGAAGAUAAAUUCGACUACUACAAACGUUGGAAUUGAUUAAAAAGGGUUCGUAGAUGUUAGUAGAGGUUUGUAGUGAAAGAAUUUUCGAUAGUAGUAAAGAUACAUGUUAACUAGAAGCACUUGAGAUGAGUCAAACUCGUUUCGGACCGAUAUUUGCUGAACAAAAUCUGUUGGAAGAUAAAUUCGACUACUACAAACGUUGGAAUUGAUUAAAACGGGUUCGUAGAUGUUAGUAGAGGUUUGUAGUGAAAGAAUUUUCGAUAGUAGUAAAGAUACAUGUUAACUAGAAGCACUUGAGAUGAGUCAAACUCGUUUCGGACCGAUAUUUGCUGAACAAAAUCUGUUGGAAGAUAAAUUCGACUACUACAAACGUUGGAAUUGAUUAAAACGGGUUCGUAGAUGUUAGUAGAGGUUUGUAGUGAAAGAAUUUUCGAUAGUAGUAAAGAUACAUGUUGACUAGAAGCACUUGAGAUGAGUCAAACUCGUUUCGGACCGAUAUUUGCUGAACAAAAUCUGUUGGAAGAUAAAUUCGACUACUACAAACGUUGGAAUUGAUUAAAAAGGGUUCGUAGAUGUUAGUAGAGGUUUGUAGUGAAAGAAUUUUCGAUAGUAGUAAAGAUACAUGUUGACUAGAAGCACUUGAGAUGAGUCAAACUCGUUUCGGACCGAUAUUUGCUGAACAAAAUCUGUUGGAAGAUAAAUUCCACUACUACAAACGUUGGAAUUGAUUAAAAAGGGUUCGUAGAUGUUAGUAGAGGUUUGUAGUGAAAGAAUUUUCGAUAGUAGUAAAGAUACAUGUUGACUAGAAGCACUUGAGAUGAGUCAAACUCGUUUCGGACCGAUAUUUGCUGAACAAAAUCUGUUGGAAGAUAAAUUCGACUACUACAAACGUUGGAAUUGAUUAAAAAGGGUUCGUAGAUGUUAGUAGAGGUUUGUAGUGAAAGAAUUUUCGAUAGUAGUAAAGAUACAUGUUAACUAGAAGCACUUGAGAUGAGUCAAACUCGUUUCGGACCGAUAUUUGCUGAACAAAAUCUGUUGGAAGAUAAAUUCGACUACUACAAACGUUGGAAUUGAUUAAAAAGGGUUCGUAGAUGUUAGUAGAGGUUUGUAGUGAAAGAAUUUUCGAUAGUAGUAAAGAUACAUGUUGACUAGAAGCACUUGAGAUGAGUCAAACUCGUUUCGGACCGAUAUUUGCUGAACAAAAUCUGUUGGAAGAUAAAUUCGACUACUACAAACGUUGGAAUUGAUUAAAAAGGGUUCGUAGAUGUUAGUAGAGGUUUGUAGUGAAAGAAUUUUCGAUAGUAGUAAAGAUACAUGUUGACUAGAAGCACUUGAGAUGAGUCAAACUCGUUUCGGACCGAUAUUUGCUGAACAAAAUCUGUUGGAAGAUAAAUUCGACUACUACAAACGUUGGAAUUGAUUAAAAAGGGUUCGUAGAUGUUAGUAGAGGUUUGUAGUGAAAUAAUUUUCGAUAGUAGUAAAGAUACAUGUUGACUAGAAGCACUUGAGAUGAGUCAUACUCGUUUGGGAGCGAUAUUUGCUGAACAAAAUCUGUUGGAAGAUAAAUUCGACUACUACAAACGUUGGAAUUGAUUAAAAAGGGUUCGUAGAUGUUAGUAGAGGUUUGUAGUGAAAGAAUUUUCGAUAGUAGUAAAGAUACAUGUUGACUAGAAGCACUUGAGAUGAGUCAAACUCGUUUCGGACCGAUAUUUGCUGGAUAAAAUCUGUUGGAAGAUAAAUUCGACUACUACAAACGUUGGAAUUGAUUAAAAAGGGUUCGUAGAUGUUAGUAGAGGUUUGUAGUGAAAGAAUUUUCGAUAGUAGUAAAGAUACAUGUUGACUAGAAGCACUUGAGAUGAGUCAAACUCGUUUCGGAGCGAUAUUUGCUGGAUAAAAUCUGUUUGAAGAUAAAUUCGACUACUACAAACGUUGGAAUUGACUAAAAUG